rnacentral:rRNA from 1 species
GACGUAGGGCGCGAGCGUUGUCCGGAUUUAUUGGGCGUAAAGAGCUCGUAGGCGGCUCAUUGCGUCAACCGUGAAAACCAGCAGCUCAACUGUUGGCUUGCGGUUGAUACGGGUGGGCUGGAGUUCGGUAGGGGAGACUGGAAUUCCUGGUGUAGCGGUGAAAUGCGCAGAUAUCAGGAGGAACACCGGUGGCGAAGGCGGGUCUCUGGGCAACUCCUGACGCUGAGGCGCGAAAGCGUGGGGAGCAAACGGG